rnacentral:rRNA from 1 species
AUGCACGCUGGCGGCGUGCCUAAUACAUGCAAGUCGAGCGAACGGACGAGAAGCUUGCUUCUCUGAUGUUAGCGGCGGACGGGUGAGUAACACGUGGAUAACCUACCUAUAAGACUAGGAUAACUUCGGGAAACCGGAGCUAAUACCGGAUGAUAUUUUGAACCGCAUGGUUCAAAAGUGAAAGACGGUCUUGCUGUCACUUAUAGAUGGAUCCGCGCUGCAUUAGCUAGUUGGUAAGGUAACGGCUUACCAAGGCAACGAUGCAUAGCCGACCUGAGAGGGUGAUCGGCCACACUGGAACUGAGACACGGUCCAGACUCCUACGGGAGGCAGCAGUAGGGAAUCUUCCGCAAUGGGCGAAAGCCUGACGGAGCAACGCCGCGUGAGUGAUGAAGGUCUUCGGAUCGUAAAACUCUGUUAUUAGGGAAGAACAUAUGUGUAAGUAACUGUGCACAUCUUGACGGUACCUAAUCAGAAAGCCACGGCUAACUACGUG